AGAGUUUGAUCAUGGCUCAGAACGAACGCUGGCGGCGUGCCUAAUACAUGCAAGUCGAGCGAGAAAGUCUUCUUCGGAAGGCGAGUAAAGCGGCGCACGGGUGAGUAACACGUAGGUAACCUGCCCUGGAGAUCGGGAUAACCCAGUGAAAACCGGGCUAAUACCGAAUACGGCCAGGAGGUCCUCGGAUCUCCUGGAGAAAGGUGGCCUCUUCUUGAAAGCUUCCGCUCCGGGAUGGACCUGCGCCCCAUUAGCUUGUUGGUGAGGUAACGGCUCACCAAGGCGAUGAUGGGUAGCUGAUCUGAGAGGAUGAUCAGCCACACUGGAACUGAGACACGGUCCAGACUCCUACGGGAGGCAGCAGUAGGGAAUUUUGUCCAAUGGGCGCAAGCCUGAGACAGCAACGCCGCGUGUGGGAUGAAGGCCCUCGGGUCGUAAACCACUGUCAGAGGGGAAGAACCGCCGGUGGGGGAAUAUUCCGCCGGCCUGACGGUACCCUCAAAGGAAGCACCGGCUAACUCCGUGCCAGCAGCCGCGGUAACACGGAGGGUGCGAGCGUUGUUCGGAAUUACUGGGCGUAAAGCGCGUGUAGGUGGCUGCGUAAGUCGGUUGUGAAAUCCCCAGGCUCAACCUGGGAACUGCAUCCGAAACUGCGUGGCUAGAGUCCCGGAGAGGAAGGCAGAAUUCCGAGUGUAGGGGUGAAAUCCGUAGAUAUUCGGAGGAAUACCAGUGGCGAAGGCGGCCUUCUAGACGGUGACUGACACUGAGACGCGAAAGUGUGGGGAGCAAACAGGAUUAGAUACCCUGGUAGUCCACACCGUAAACGUUGUGCACUAGGCGUCGGGGGUAUUCACCCCUCCGGUGCCGCAGCUAACGCAUUAAGUGCACCGCCUGGGGAGUACGGCCGCAAGGCUAAAACUCAAAGGAAUUGACGGGGACCCGCACAAGCGGUGGAGCAUGUGGUUUAAUUCGAUGCAACGCGAAGAACCUUACCUGGGCUUGACAUCCCCGCGAACCUCUCCCGAAAGGAGAGGGUGCCCUUCGGGAACGCGGUGACAGGUGCUGCAUGGCUGUCGUC
rnacentral:rRNA from 1 species